AACCGCGGUUAAACGAAUAGUCCUAGUUAAUAGUAAUGCGGCGUAAAGGGUGGUUAAGGAUAACAAUAAUAAAGCCAAAUGGCCCCUUGGCUGUUAUACGCUUCUAGGCGUCCGAAGCCCUAAUACGAAAGUUGCUUUAAAUAAACUACCUGACCCCACGAAAGCUGAGGAA
rnacentral:rRNA from 1 species